rnacentral:rRNA from 1 species
GUGUCAGCAGCCGCGGUAAUACAGAGGGGGCAAGCGUUGUUCGGAAUUACUGGGCGUAAAGGGCGCGUAGGCGGCCUGUUAAGUCGGACGUGAAAUCCCUCGGCUCAACCGGGGAACUGCGUCCGAUACUGGCGGGCUUGAAUUCGGGAGAGGGAUGUGGAAUUCCAGGUGUAGCGGUGAAAUGCGUAGAUAUCUGGAGGAACACCGGUGGCGAAGGCGGCAUCCUGGACCGACAUUGACGCUGAGGCGCGAAAGCCAGGGGAGCAAACGGGAUUAGAUACCCCAGUAGUCC